GAGUAACUUCGUUGCCGGGCAACCGGACGCUUUAGCAAAAGGCGGCUCGUGUGUCGGAAUUUCCCAUUUUUCAGGGAACAUUGUCUUUUAUGACGGUGAUUCAAAUUAUCUUCUUUUCUGGUUGACGUUUGACCUGGCGAAAUGCAAAAGAGCUGUCUGGGCUCCUGUGAUGUACUGGACGGACACAGGAGGCAGACCCCGAAGUGCAGUAGCCAAAGGGUUUAUUGAAAGAUCCGAGAACAGCCAAAAAUCAGGAGGGGAAUCCAAAAGAAUAGUCGAGGAAUGACGGUCACUGCGGCGCAGUGGAUUACAGAUUUCGAUCUGGAUCAGGGAUUUGUCACGUGUUCCGGCCUAAACCAAUAGCAGCAGUGGGCUCACAAUAUAAAACUUUAUAUUUUUUUCAUUUUGAGAUGUUUCCUGAGAUACAGGGACGAAGUGCAGUUAGGGACAAAAACCGAGAACCUAGAAUAUAUGAAUGAUGAGGAGCAGGCAGGGAAGGAAGAAGAUGAGGGUUAAAGAAGACAAAAGGUGUCCUCCAGCAGCUAUCAGCAGACAUGUCAAGAGAAGACACUGGAUGGUCACUGGUUGUGUAUUCCUCAGAUAGAACAGGGUUGAGGAUCUAAUUUAAAAGUAAACCUCAGGCCUCCACAUCACCCUGACUCGGACAAGUGGUAGGAAGAUGGGUGGAUGGAUGGAAAAUAGAAGUCUGCUACAUUUAUACUUAGUUCUAUGUUAUAAUAAAGUGGGUUUCAAAAAGUCUAGAUACAAGUUCUACAUUUCUUGUUAAGUUUAGCAGACGGCUCCAUGAUUCUGAUCAUCCCGUCCUUCAGCGGCUCCUUGAUGGUGAAGAAACCCCAUCGAUCACCGGGAUGCAUACACGCUAAUAUAUCGACAUAGAGCACCAUCUAAUGUUCACGUUAGGAACUGAAAAUCAGAAAACAUGUAGGUCUUACCGCUCGUCAC